UACGUAGGGGGCAAGCGUUGUCCGGAUUUAUUGGGCGUAAAGAGCUCGUAGGCGGUUUGGUAAGUCUGGUGUGAAAUCUCCACGCUCAACGUGGAGGGGCCACCCGAUACUGCCAUGACUGGAGUCCGGUAGAGGAGUGUGGAAUUCCCGGUGUAGCGGUGAAAUGCGCAGAUAUCUGGAGGAAUACCGGUGGCGAAGGCGGCAUCCUGGACCGGCAUUGACGCUGAUGAGCGAAAGCUAGGGGAGCGAACGGG
rnacentral:rRNA from 1 species